AGUGAACGCUGGCGGCAGGCCUAACACAUGCAAGUCGAGCGGCAGCGCGGGGGCAACCCUGGCGGCGAGCGGCGGACGGGUGAGGAAUGCAUCGGAAUCUACCUCGUUGUGGGGGAUAACGUAGGGAAACUUACGCUAAUACCGCAUACGACCUACGGGGGAAAGCAGGGGACCUUCGGGCCUUGCGCGAUUGGAUAUGCCCAGGUGGGAUUAGCUAGUUGGUGAGGUAAUGGCUCACCAAGGCGACGAUCCCUAGCUGGUCUGAGAGGAUGAUCAGCCACACUGGAACUGAGACACGGUCCAGACUCCUACGGGAGGCAGCAGUGGGGAAUAUUGCACAAUGGGGGAAACCCUGAUGCAGCCAUGCCGCGUGUGUGAAGAAGGCCUUCGGUUGUAAGACACUUCUAGCGAGGAGGAAAGGUACGAGUA
rnacentral:rRNA from 1 species